CGGAAAAAGAGGAGUGGCGAACGGGUGAGUAACACGUGGGUAACCUGCCCAUCAGAAGGGGAUAACACUUGGAAACAGGUGCUAAUACCGUAUAACAAUCAAAACCGCAUGGUUUUGAUUUGAAAGGCGCUUUCGGGUGUCGCUGAUGGAUGGACCCGCGGUGCAUUAGCUAGUUGGUGAGGUAACGGCUCACCAAGGCCACGAUGCAUAGCCGACCUGAGAGGGUGAUCGGCCACAUUGGGACUGAGACACGGCCCAAACUCCUACGGGAGGCAGCAGUAGGGAAUCUUCGGCAAUGGACGAAAGUCUGACCGAGCAACGCCGCGUGAGUGAAGAAGGUUUUCGGAUCGUAAAACUCUGUUGUUAGAGAAGAACAAGGAUGAGAGUAACUGUUCAUCCCUUGACGGUAUCUAACCAGAAAGCCACGGCUAACUACGUGCCAGCAGCCGCGGUAAUACGUAGGUGGCAAGCGUUGUCCGGAUUUAUUGGGCGUAAAGCGAGCGCAGGCGGUUUCUUAAGUCUGAUGUGAAAGCCCCCGGCUCAACCGGGGAGGGUCAUUGGAAACUGGGAGACUUGAGUGCAGAAGAGGAGAGUGGAAUUCCAUGUGUAGCGGUGAAAUGCGUAGAUAUAUGGAGGAACACCAGUGGCGAAGGCGGCUCUCUGGUCU
rnacentral:rRNA from 1 species